rnacentral:rRNA from 1 species
GACGAACGCUGGCGGCGUGCUUAACACAUGCAAGUCGAACGAUGAAGCUGGAGCUUGCUCCGGUGGAUUAGUGGCGAACGGGUGAGUAACACGUGAGCAAUCUGCCCUUGACUCUGGGAUAACUGCGGGAAACUGUAGCUAAUACCGGAUAUGAGGCUUGGAGGCAUCUCCAGGUCUGGAAAGAAUUUCGGUCAAGGAUGAGCUCGCGGCCUAUCAGCUAGUUGGUGAGGUAAUGGCUCACCAAGGCGACGACGGGUAGCCGGCCUGAGAGGGUGACCGGCCACACUGGGACUGAGACACGGCCCAGACUCCUACGGGAGGCAGCAGUGGGGAAUAUUGCACAAUGGGCGGAAGCCUGAUGCAGCAGCGCCGCGUGAGGGAUGAAGGCCUUCGGGUUGUGAACCUCUUUUAGCAGGGAAGAAGCGAAAGUGACGGUACCUGCAGAAAAAGCACCGGCUAACUACGUGCCAGCCGCCGCAGUAA